GACAGAGGUUGCAACCGUUGUUCGGAAUUACUGGGCAUAAAGCGCACGUAGGCGGUCCGUUAAGUCAUGUGUGAAAUCCCCCGGCUCAACCGGGGAAUUGCGCAUGAUACUGGCGGGCUAGAGAUCGAUAGGGGUGAGCGGAACUCCAGGUGGAGCGGUGAAAUGCGUAGAUAUCUGGAGGAACACCGGUGGCGAAAGCGGCUCACUGGAUCGAAACUGACGCUGAGGAGCGAAAGCAUGGGGAGCGAACAGG
rnacentral:rRNA from 1 species